CAGCCGCCGCGGGAAAACAGAGGGUGCGAGCGUUAAUCGGAUUUACUGGGCGUAAAGCGUGCGUAGGCGGCUUUUUAAGUCGGAUGUGAAAUCCCUGAGCUUAACUUAGGAAUUGCAUUCGAUACUGGGAAGCUAGAGUAUGGGAGAGGAUGGUAGAAUUCCAGGUGUAGCGGUGAAAUGCGUAGAGAUCUGGAGGAAUACCGAUGGCGAAGGCAGCCAUCUGGCCUAAUACUGACGCUGAGGUACGAAAGCAUGGGGAGCAAACAGGAUUAGAUACCCCCGUAGUCCCUGUCUCUUAUAA
rnacentral:rRNA from 1 species